CGAAAGCUGAUCAUCAUGCCGCGUGAGUGAAGAAGGCCUUCGGGUUGUAAAGCUCUUUCGGUGGGGACGAAAUGGUUUGUGCUAAUACCACGAACUGAUGACGGUACCCGAAGAAGAAGCACCGGCUAACUACGUGCCAGCAGCCGCGGUAAUACGUAGGGUGCAGGCGUUAAUCGGAAUUACUGGGCGUAAAGCGUGCGCAGGCGGUUUGCUAAGACAGAUGUGAAAUCCCCGGGCUUAACCUGGGAACUGCGUUUGUAACUGGCAGGCUGGAGUGUGGCAGAGGGGGGUGGAAUUCCAAGUGUAGCAGUGAAAUGCGUAGAUAUUUGGAGGAACACCGAUGGCGAAGGCAGCCCCCUGGGCUAACACUGACGCUCAUGCACGAAAGCGUGGGGAGCAAACAGGAUUAGAUACCCUGGUAGUCCACGCCCUAAACUAUGUCAACUGGUUGUCGGGGGAGCAAUCCCUUGGUAACGAAGCUAACGCGUGAAGUUGACCGCCUGGGGAGUACGGACGCAAGGUUAAAACUCAAAGGAAUUGACGGGGACCCGCACAAGCGGUGGAUUAUGUGGAUUAAUUCG
rnacentral:rRNA from 1 species